ensembl:lncRNA
GUGGGGGACUAACUUACUAACUUAACUACGAGGAGGAAAAAGCUCGUCUCGCCGAGGAGGGCGUCGAGGAAAAAGAAGCGAAACGUGGAGUUUGGCGCGCGCUGACUCCCGGUGCUGGCGGGGAAACGCGCGAGCUGCUCUCCUCCUCCUCGGCUGAUGUUCAGAUGGUUACACGGAGGGAGAAGAAGGGGAGAAAACAUGCGAGAGGGCGAGAAUCGCCGAUUUGGAUGUUGUUGUUUUUGAUGUUCCAGAUGUGGAGGGUUACACUCCUCUGGUCACACCUGUGAGGGUUGGCGGUUCGAUCCCGGGUGCUGCUAACCUGCACGUCCACGUGUCCUCGAGCAAGACACUUGGCCCAGC